UCUGCUAGUCUAAAUUUUGAUCCAAGCUAGUAUUAUCUGUAUAAUGCUUCUUUACUCUCUUUUUUGCCAAAUAUUCUCUGAAUUUUUGCCAUUUUCAGGGGAUUGCUUUGUUCCAGAACUGGUGAUUCUUUGCAGUUUGGCACUGAACUGAAGCAAAGUACUUUCAACAACAUUUCCAGCUGCUGCCUGGGCCUUACUGCUGCUUGUGGUGAGCUCAGGCUUGUCGGUGGCUAAGCAGCUUGGGCAACUGCAGGGCUGCCGGGCCAAACACAGCUAAGUGCUAGCUAACCUGCACAGAAGCUGAUCUGAUCAUCUAUAGUAUACUCUCUCGUGUCAUUUGGUAUAGUGGGGGAAAUUAUCUAAUGCCAGCUGCACCGUGCACAUCUCACAUGAACUCUGCAGAAAAUUUUAAUAAGCAGGUGGAAGAUACCCCAGUACCUGCACUCAACAGAAAGGGGUAGAAUAAUCCACUUAUGAAGAAGGAGUGACUUUAUUUAUGUUCUUUCGCUGGGUUAAUUUUUGCCAUAGACUGAUAGUAUUUCAAGCAGACACUAUUUGUUCCCUUGGCUACACACAUCCAGCUCCUCACACCAGACAAAGACGCACACUAGGUUCCUGAAACCAAACAAGUGGUCUAGCUAACAUGCACGGAAUCAAUUGUCAGAUGAUUAGUCUGGUCCGUGGAAACCAAACAACGCGUAUAGGAGCUGAGAAAAUCAAGCCCAUACAUACAUACUCAUCAAGAUGCACAUGUGGGUGCGUGGUAGGCUGCCGGAGCUACAAAAGUACAAAGUUAGCAAGUGUACUAUGGAGUGGAUUGUCUAGUGGCUGUCAGAUUGAUGCAUAUGUAUGCUUUAAAUGAUUGGUUAGUUGGCUGGCUGGCUGCUGGCCCGAUUUUCUGUUAGGAAUGCCGCCAUGCUUCCGUAGUUAGGACUUGGGAGCUAGCAGGACCUGGACUAUGCCAUGCCAGCAAGCAAGCAAGUACUCCUACUCUUAACUAAAGCAACUGUCUGGCCUGGGGCCAAACUAAAGGCCUCGGAGGAGAGACCACCAUUUGGAAGCAAGCAAGCAUCGAAUACUCUCUUCCUAGACUUUACCGGUCCCGGCCACACUGCCUUUGUUUGUCUCCCUCUCAUCUCGGUGACUUCGUCGUGAAGACGGGUCGACGAGGGAGGACCAGCUGUUGCUGAAAGCAAAAGCAAAGGCGGCCAGUAGUACAUAUUCCUCUGGACCUGGCAUGGUAUGCCAUCUUCCGCUCUAGAUUUGCGAGGAGAAACACCUGGGGGCUGCACUGCGGUUGAGUUCGAGUCGGAUGCCUGCCAAGAUUUGUAUUCCUUUUUCAUGUGAUUCUCGGUUGGGAUACGGCUGAUUUUUCUUAAAAGGAGUGGUUCUUAGUGGAAGAUGGUAAUAUGGAAAGAGAGAGCAUGACAGGCCUGAUACACGAUAAGCAUAAGACACAUUUCUAAGUGGAAACGGGAAAAAAUGGUGGCCGCAUGCAGCCGGGUCUCUGGCCUGGGACGGAGGGAACUCCGUUUACCACAAAGGUUUGGACGAGAAUGUUUCAAAGAUCACCACGCUCAGUCAUUUACCCUCCUGUCCGCUUCCGAUGCGUGAGUAGUAGAGUAAUUUAUUUCAAGACGAAGACGGCCGAACCGGUCAGGCCGUCAGGGGAUUAAACCAAGUGUCUAUCUACUCCUAGCUAGCUGGACUGGUUCGUGUGGACAGACGCACAGACUUGUCAAACCAACUCCGGUUCUCCGGGAAGUCAGUCAGUUCAGUCAGUCCUGGUGCUCCAUUGCGUAGGGUGCGCUCGAGUCCGGGGAAUAUAUACGGUGGGAGCGUGCGCAUCUUUGAAUCGUCGUACUAUUCCAGUGCGCGGUCGCUGUAAGAAAAGAGAGACCGUUGUUUUCAUCAGGCUUUCAGUACUCUCUCUCAGUCCAAAGAAGAAUGUAUCUGUAUGCGUCUAUACACUAAGUCAUGUCUAGAUACAUUUAAAUUUUGACAAACUUGA